rnacentral:lncRNA from 1 species
GCCAUAUGGAGGGAAGGGGGAAAUUUGGGGGGAAGAGAAGAAAAAUACAUGAGUUCAGUCUGCCAUAUUUAAUCAGAAGCUCCUAAAGCCCAUUUUUAACUCAUUUCUCUACCACCAGCUUCUCAAAAGUGAAAUAAGAAGAUUGGAAAGGAAUCAAGAGCGAGAGAAGUCUGCAGCUAACCUGGAAUACUUGAAGAACGUCUUGCUGCAGUUCAUUUUCUUGAAACCAGGUAGUGAAAGAGAGAGACUUCUUCCUGUUAUAAAUACGAUGUUGCAGCUCAGCCCUGAAGAAAAGGGAAAACUUGCUGCGGUUGCUCAAGGUGAGGAAGAAAAUGCUUCCCGUUCUUCUGGAUGGGCAUCCUAUCUUCAUAGUUGGUCUGGACUUCGAUAGGUUGAUGGAAUAUUUUUAUUAACCAAAUAGAAUCUAUUUACAAAAAUGGUUCAUGUAUAUUACCACCAUUCUUUUGUCAAAAGUGUGUAUAUAUGUUUGCAUCUACAUAUAUUUGUACUAUAUGACAGAUGUAUUUUAAAAGUUUCAUCUUGAAGUAAAAGUACAACAGCUUGAAGUGUUGAUACCAGGCCACAGCUCUCUAACUCAUGUGAUCUCCCAUGCAUGCUGCCAGAAUAAAACCACCAGGAAUGAAUUCACUCCCCACUUCUCUGGAACCUCAGGACCCGCCCAUUUCUCGGCAGUACUGUGAAUUUUGAAGUUAAACUAAAUUUUGGUACCAUACCAACUGGAAUUUAGGCUUUAAAAAUAAUGUUUCAAGGCCAGGUGUGGUGAUUCAUGCCUGAAAUCCCACUACUUUGGGAGGCUGAGGCUGGAGAAUCGCUUGAGGCUAGUGAGCUGUGAUUGUACCACUGCACUCCAGCUCGGGGAACAGAGCGAGACCUUGUCUCUAAAAAUAAUAAUAGUAAUAAAAAUAACGUUUUAUGACUAUUUAUUGCAAGGUCAGAUUUACAGAUUGUUAUAAAUUGUUGAGAAACUUGUGAUUAGAAUAUGAAGGAAAAAGCUUUGUUGGUAAAAGUGACAUGUUAAGGGGCUAUGAAGUAAAUAUGCUGCAGUGAAUUAUGCUAAGUUAAAAUACAGUUUAGUUAUUUGCUUUAAAAUAAACUCUUCUUUUUUUCUUUAUACUAUCUCAAAACUCAUUAUGUUGUCAGAGCCCUAGAGCUGGCUAGUGUAACACUGACUAUGAAUAGGUGGGCCCACCACUUGAGUUGAGGUGAUUUCAUGGUGUCUUUCCAGGCUCUUGAUAGGGUGUCACUGCAUGCAAGCCAUGAAUCUGUUUUGAGAAUCCUCUCCAUUUUCCCAAAUAAAAACCUAUCCCAACAGUGACUAUAUCACUCAGCAUUGGAUCUAAAUAUAAAACUGGUGCUUUCAGUGUUUUUUGGCAGAUAGUGUUCCAUAAGCUUUCCAUCAGAAGGGAUUUUAGACACCUUAGAGGUCCGUGCUACAUCUUCACAGUUCCUCUGAAUAACCUUAGGUGGUAGUGUUACUUGCCUUUGACACCUCUGCAUAUGUUUUAAUGACUAGAUCCAAACUGUGUUGUUCUUAAAUCAAAAAUUGGAUAAUUUUUAAUAUUUAUGUGUUAAUCAUACAGUAUGCUCUCUGAAGUUCUCUUAAGCCUUCAGUUUAUACUCUUAAUUUUCUUUCUGAGCUGGAGAACUGACUUUGCACUUUGGUUACACAGAACAUUGGUUUCCAAUUUAGUUUAACUGAAAUUUGCUGCUGAUAUGUUGAGUUUGUUCUUUAAAAUAUAUCUCAUAUAUCUCGUCUUUCCUCCUGUCUUAGAAGAACAGACCUAAUUAGUGAAUGUAUGAAUGAAAAUGCAUCUAUUUCAGAGCUGAC